GGCGGCGUGCUUAACACAUGCAAGUCGAACGAUGAACCACUUCGGUGGGGAUUAGUGGCGAACGGGUGAGUAACACGUGGGCAAUCUGCCCUGCACUCUGGGACAAGCCCUGGAAACGGGGUCUAAUACCGGAUACGAGGUUCGGAGGCAUCUUCGAACUUGGAAAGCUCCGGCGGUGCAGGAUGAGCCCGCGGCCUAUCAGCUUGUUGGUGAGGUAAUGGCUCACCAAGGCGACGACGGGUAGCCGGCCUGAGAGGGCGACCGGCCACACUGGGACUGAGACACGGCCCAGACUCCUACGGGAGGCAGCAGUGGGGAAUAUUGCACAAUGGGCGAAAGCCUGAUGCAGCGACGCCGCGUGAGGGAUGACGGCCUUCGGGUUGUAAACCUCUUUCAGCAGGGAAGAAGCGAGAGUGACGGUACCUGCAGAAGAAGCGCCGGCUAACUACGUGCCAGCAGCCGCGGUAAUACGUAGGGCGCAAGCGUUGUCCGGAAUUAUUGGGCGUAAAGAGCUCGUAGGCGGCUUGUCACGUCGAUUGUGAAAGCCCGAGGCUUAACCUCGGGUCUGCAGUCGAUACGGGCUAGCUAGAGUGUGGUAGGGGAGAUCGGAAUUCCUGGUGUAGCGGUGAAAUGCGCAGAUAUCAGGAGGAACACCGGUGGCGAAGGCGGAUCUCUGGGCCAUUACUGACGCUGAGGAGCGAAAGCGUGGGGAGCGAACAGGAUUAGAUACCCUGGUAGUCCACGCCGUAAACGGUGGGCACUAGGUGUUGGCGACAUUCCACGUCGUCGGUGCCGCAGCUAACGCAUUAAGUGCCCCGCCUGGGGAGUACGGCCGC
rnacentral:rRNA from 1 species